UAAGGUGUACCACGCACGCAGCCAAAUCCCUAAUUCCCCUUCUCCUUCUUCGAUUCCCCACACCCGCCGCCGCCGGGCUCUCCACCGCGCCUCCGCGCUCCACCACGGCGUUGGCCUCUCCCUCGCGCCCCCGCGUCUCUACUUCACGCUGUCGACCUCUCCACCUACUCCAGAGGAGCGUUGCCCUGCGGAAUGGCGUGACGGCCGUGGCGGCGCACGUCCCGGAGGUGCUGCUGCUCGUGGUGUCCAAUCCCGUCGACGACCUCACCUACCUGGCCUGAAAGCUUUCAAGCUUCCCGGCGAGCAGCGUCGGCGGCUCCGGCACCAACCUCCACUCCUCCAGGUUCCGGUUCCUUAUCAACCAGCUCCACGUCAACACCCAGGACGUGUAGGCUAUUUAACUUGUUUCUUGAUUAAGGUGUUGAUGGGCUGUAACUAUUUGCCACUCUGAAGAUAUAAAUUGUUAUUUCUUCAGGUAUCGUAUCACUGAGGCACCCUCCCACGCACCUGCAAGCAUGAAUGAAGGACGUGUUUUGAGGUCUAGUGUAACACAAGAUCAUGAUCAUGUAGAUCACGCGCAUCAGCCUUCCAAAGAAGCAAACGUAAGGACUGGACUCACAAUGAACCAUGAAGCCGGCGAUCCGCGUCAACUGGAUGCUUUAGCUUUCAUUUUGUACAACCGAUGUCUCAUAUUUGCGUCUUUUUGCUGUCAUUCUGUAAACCUGAUGUAUGGUGUCUUGUCUUGGUGGUUAGAACAAACUGAUGUGUAUGUAUGUGACAAUUAGUUAAUGGAAUAAAAAAUGGUUUGGUGCACCUGA